rnacentral:rRNA from 1 species
UUGUUGGUAAGGUAAAGGCUUACCAAGGCUUCGAUCAGUAGCUGGUCUGAGAGGACGGCCAGCCACACUGGGACUGAGACACGGCCCAGACUCCUACGGGAGGCAGCAGUGGGGAAUUUUGGACAAUGGGGGAAACCCUGAUCCAGCCAUGCCGCGUGAGUGAAGAAGGCCUUCGGGUUGUAAAGCUCUUUCAGCCGGAACGAAACGGUUACGGAUAAUACCCGUGACUACUGGCGGUACCGGAAGAAGAAGCACCGGCUAACUACGUGCCAGCAGCCGCGGUAAUACGUAGGGUGCGAGCGUUAAUCGGAAUUACUGGGCGUAAAGCGUGCGCAGGUGGUUUUGUAAGUCAGAUGUGAAAGCCCCGGGCUCAACCUGGGAACUGCGUUUGAAACUACAAGACUAGAGUGUGGCAGAGGGGGGUGGAAUUCCGCGUGUAGCAGUGAAAUGCGUAGAGAUGUGGAGGAACACCGAUGGCGAAGGCAGCCCCCUGGGUUAACACUGACACUCAGGCACGAAAGCAUGGGGAGCAAACAGGAUUAGAUACCCUGGUAGUCCAUGCCCUAAACGAUGUCAACUAGUUGUCGGGCCUUUACGGGCUUGGUAACGUAGCUAACGCGUGAAGUUGACCGCCUGGGGAGUACGAUCGCAAGAUUAAAACUCAAAUGAAUUGACGGGGACCCGCACAAGCGGUGGAUUAUGUGGAUUAAUUCGAUGCAACGCGAAAAACCUUACCUACCCUUGACAUGUAUCGAAGCCCGCAGAAAAGCGGGGGUGCCCGAAAGGGAACGAUAACACAGGUGCUGCAUGGCUGUCGUCAGCUCGUGUCGUGAGAUGUUGGGUUAAGUCCCGCAACGAGCGCAACCCUUGUCAUUAAUUGCCAUCAUUUAGUUGGGCACUUUAAUGAGACUGCCGG